GACGAACGCUGGCGGCGUGCUUAACACAUGCAAGUCGAACGGAAAGGCCCUGCUUUUGUGGGGUGCUCGAGUGGCGAACGGGUGAGUAACACGUGAGUAACCUGCCCUUGACUUUGGGAUAACUUCAGGAAACUGGGGCUAAUACCGGAUAGGAGCUCCUGCCGCAUGGUGGGGGUUGGAAAGUUUCGGCGGUUGGGGAUGGACUCGCGGCUUAUCAGCUUGUUGGUGGGGUAGUGGCUUACCAAGGCUUUGACGGGUAGCCGGCCUGAGAGGGUGACCGGCCACAUUGGGACUGAGAUACGGACCAGACUCCUACGGGAGGCAGCAGUGGGGAAUAUUGCACAAUGGGCGGAAGCCUGAUGCAACAACGCCGCGUGCGGGAUGACGGCCUUCGGGUUGUAAACCGCUUUCGCCUGUGACGAAGCGUGAGUGACGGUAAUGGGUAAAGAAGCACCGGCUAACUACGUG
rnacentral:rRNA from 1 species